rnacentral:rRNA from 1 species
UACGAAGGGGGCUAGCGUUGUUCGGAUUUACUGGGCGUAAAGCGCACGUAGGCGGACUAUUAAGUCAGGGGUGAAAUCCCGGAGCUCAACUCCGGAACUGCCUUUAAGACUGCAUCGCUCGAAUCAUGGAGAGGUCAGUGGAAUUCCGAGUGUAGAGGUGAAAUUCGUAGAUAUUCGGAAGAACACCAGUGGCGAAGGCGACUGACUGGACAUGUAUUGACGCUGAGGCACGAAAGCGUGGGGAGCAAACAGG